rnacentral:lncRNA from 10 species
GCAACUUCCGGGAGGUGCUUGUGUGCCUGGUGCGGGAGCUACGGGGCCCAGGGAUUGUGUUUAAAGUAGUGCUUCUACCAACAUGUCCCGUGGUUCCAGCGCCGGUUUUGACCGCCACAUUACCAUUUUUUCACCCGAGGGUCGGCUCUACCAAGUAGAAUAUGCUUUUAAGGCUAUUAACCAGGGUGGCCUUACAUCAGUAGCUGUCAGAGGGAAAGACUGUGCAGUAAUUGUCACACAGAAGAAAGUACCUGUAAGUAAUACUGCCCAAAUAGUUAAUAAUUGCAGAAUAUAAGAAUUUUUCAGCCAAGUGCAGUGGCUCACACCUGUAAUCCCAGCACUUUGGGAGGCUGAGGUGGGCAGAUCACCUUAGAUCGGGAGUUCUAGACCAGCGUGACCAACAUGGAGAAACCCUGUCUCUAUUAAAAAUACAAAAUUAGUCAGGCGUGGUGGCACAUGCCUGUAAUUCCAGCUACUCGGGAGGCUGAGGCAGGAGAAUCACUUGAACCUGGGAGGUGGAGGUUACGGUGAGCCAGGAUCACACCAUUGCACUCCAGCCUGGGCAACAACAGUGCAACUCCGUCUCAAAAAAAAAAAGAAA